rnacentral:misc_RNA from 1 species
UGAGCAGCAGCCUUCAAUCAAACAUGGUGAAGAAAUUAGGCAUAAGCCAAAGGCCCUUGUACAAAGAACAGUAAGUCAAAUUGUCUCCCAGUGUAAUGAUAGAAAACUACACGGCAGGGUUAAGGAAGAAAAACUCACAUGAUCUUGCUGUAAGUCCAGGUGUCAUACAUUGCAAUUGCAUAAAAAUAAAAUAUUAAAAAAAAAAGUGAACAUAAAAUUACGUUCUUGAUUCUAUCUAGAAUUAUGAAAAGUGUGACCUUUCAACAGGUAUGGAACACGUGGACACAGAGCAUGGAAAGAAUGAAAAUGAUUGUAUAUGAAAUGACUAGGCUGCAGCAACCCACUGGGCUGCUGCUGAUUAACAGCUAUUAAUUUAUGCACCCUAACUCAAGGCUGCAGCACCAGAAAUAUAAUGAUAGCCUAAUAAAAGUCCAAGAUAAAAAUUAAACAUAAUAAGAAAAAAAGGAAAAAAAAAAAAAAGCCAA